rnacentral:lncRNA from 1 species
CGCCCCUGCACAGAAGCCUGCAGCGUGGAGGCUCCCCUCGCGCUCGCCCAGACUCGGCUGCAGAAGGAGGACCCACCUCGCGUCUCCCCCGAGGCGCGCACCUCUGUCGCCACCCUCCACGCGCCUAGGAAGUUUUGAAGGUAGAGAAUCUGGGCCCCUCAACUUCCUCUGGACAUGAAUCAAACCGCAGGAGUCUCCAAUAGCGUCAGGUAUCCCCCGGGGAAAGGCCACAAGAUACAGACCAAGGUUGAACAAGCACUCCCAGGGGAAUAAAGCC